GGGAGGGGGGGCAGGCCCCUGGGUGUAGACUGCUAACUUCUCGCCCCAUCUGUCUGGAAAGUGACAUACUGUCAGCUGGAGGAUGAUAGAGUAUCAUUGUGGCUCCUAAAAAAAAACCAGAAGGACCACUGACUGGAACCACCAGAAAUCUAGACCCUUGCGAAAAAGUCACAGGAUCCCUCCAUCAAGCCUCCUCACCUCUCUGACCUCUGAAUGAGGAUUAACAAACGGAGUCUGGAGAACAUGCAGAAGAAGAAAAGACUGAUGAGAAUUCUUACUUAUUUGGGAUCCGAUUACAAAACACUCAGCCCCCCCACCCCCUUUUUCCCCCAGCUCUGAAGUAGUCCUUCCUUCAUUAGCAUCCAUAACUGGUUGCAAAAUGUAAAACACUAAACUAAGACAGAGUAUCAACAUAGUUUCAGAAAAUGGAAUUGUUAUUUUACAAGCUGACAACUCCCAGCCCCUAAAAAUCUCCCUCAUUAGUUGAAGGUAGUAAAGAGGCUGCAAAAGAACAAAGAGAAUGUGAAUAGAGGAGAAAGUACAGGUGUGAAGGGCUGUCUUCCCAAAUCCCAGUCUACAGGACAUCUGGAAAGUAAAGGGGAAAAAAAAAAUCU